AGAAAGGAGAGAAGGCUGGGUCGGGGGACUGGGGAGGGCGGAACCCUCCCCUGGGUAAGGAGAGCAGCAAAGGUCAGGGAGCAGAGUCCAAGAGUGCACCGGAAUGGGGAAGGGAGGUGCAGGUCAGCAGGCAGUGCAACAGAAUGGGGAAUCGGAGGCACAGGUGAGCAGACAAUGCAACAGAAUAGGGGAAUGGAGGCACAGGUGAGCAGACACUGUAACAGAAUAGGGGAAUGGAGGCACAGGUGAGCAGACAAUGCAACAGAAUAGGGAAACGGAGGCACAGGUGAGCAGACACAGUGUAACAGAACGGGGGAAUGGAGGCACAGGUGAGCAGACACUAACAGAAUAGGGAAACGGAGGCACAGGUGAGCAGACACUGUAACAGAAUAGGGAAAUGGAGGCACAGGUGAGCAGACACUGUAACAGAAUAGGGAAACGGAGGCACAGGUGAGCAGAUAAUGCAAUAGAAUAGGGAAACGGAGGCACAGGUAAGCAGAUACUGUAACAGAAUAGGGGAAUGGAGGCACAGGUGAGCAGACACAGUGUAACAGAACGGGGGAAAUGAAGGCACAGCUGAGCAGACACUAACAGAAUAGGAAAACGGAGGCACAGGUGAGCAGAUAAUGCAAUAGAAUAGGGAAACGGAGGCACAGGUAAGCAGAUACUGUAACAGAAUAGGGGAAUGGAGGCACAGGUGAGCAGACACUGUAACAGAAUAGGGGAAUGGAGGCACAGGUGAGCAGAUAAUGCAAUAGAAUAGGGAAACGGAGGCAUAGGUGAGCAGAUAAUACAACAGAAUAGGGAAACAG